rnacentral:rRNA from 1 species
AAGGCUUGACCUCAAAUCAGGU